rnacentral:rRNA from 1 species
UACGUAGGGCGCGAGCGUUGUCCGGAAUUACUGGGCGUAAAGCGUGCGCAGGCGGUUGUGUAAGACAGAUGUGAAAUCCCCGGGCUUAACCUGGGAACUGCAUUUGUGACUGCAUGGCUGGAGUGCGGCAGAGGGGGAUGGAAUUCCGCGUGUAGCAGUGAAAUGCGUAGAUAUGCGGAGGAACACCGAUGGCGAAGGCAAUCCCCUGGGCCUGCACUGACGCUCAUGCACGAAAGCGUGGGGAGCAAACAGG